GUGCUCGCUUUGGUAGCACAUAUACUAAAAUUGGAACAAUACAGAGAAAAUUAACACGGCCCCUGCACAAGGAUGAUAUACAAAAACACUCCUACUUCACUUGA
ensembl:snRNA U6 U6 spliceosomal RNA